CGGGUACGCGACGUAGUCUCCGCAGUGAGCGUCGCGACGCCUCCGCGGAGAGUGUUGCAUGGAUUGCACGAUCGGUGGUCGCCGGUGCACGAGGCGUCCCGCUCUCGUCGCGAAUUACGCCGACGGUGUGCAGUGUCGGAGGGGUUGUUUCGCUUCUAUCGAGCCACCGGCCACCACGACGGGAAGAAGGGCGGCGGGUCGGUGUCCCGCACCAUAGAGGCUGCAGCUGCGUUUCGAUCCGCCCGGAAGAGCUCUCCGGAUGACCCAGAACGGACCCCGCGCCGGGUGCAACCAGAUAUCAGACGCAGAAACUGAAGAAAGUGUAAGACGCGCAGUAUCGCUUGGUCAUUGCGGAAUUAUCUUUGGUCAUAAAAGGAGUCUGGUGGAUAAACCGUGAAAGUGCCAAUACCUCGCAAAUAAAAGUACGUCAGCCAUACGCGACGUUAUACAGAAAAGGAUGGGUUAGCGCGCGUCGAACGGUAAAAUCGGAACAAAAUUGAACGAGCAUCUUCUUGGAAGAAUAUGAGGUCGUGUGAGUGCCUACUCGGUCGAGGAGAAUCAAUUUCCCUUCCGGUCAUCGGGUCGCGGUGAAAUGACCAAGUUGCCGAGAUUAAUCGUGUCUUCAUGAGAGCGCCGAUCUCCCGUUAGUCGCUUGAUGAGCGAACAACAAAUGACCCAGCUCGAUCCAUGAACAGGCGCAAGAAACACGCCAGCGUGAGAAGGCAAGGCAUAUCCGGCGAAAUUCUCUUCGGGUCAAUCCAGAAGACGAGGACGGAGACGAGCAGAUAGACCGAUCCAGCUAAUUUCGAACUCUUCGCAUCAGUUUUCCUGAAAGAUCAUUUAACAGAUUAGCCUUACUCGACAAGAGCAGCGGGCACGUUGCUAAGAUAACAUUCCCCGUAACAUUCCAUAAAAUUUCAACGUGCGAAAAAUUUCGUCGCGGUGCCAAAAGCCCGGAUUAAGGUGACAGGGCAUAAGUUGCGAGUACGAAGUCCGGGGAAACGGUGAGAUCCGGAGAGGUAGCAUCAGCUAACCCCUCGGCGACUUUCUCUAUUUGACCGGCGAUUCUCGUCACUCUUGCUCUCUCUCCCUCGGAUUCUCAUUCGAGCGUCGCCACUUUGCCAUUCCGCGUCCCCACCACGUCGCGAGCAUAAAAAUAUAACGACUUGGGACGCGUUACGUUCGCGGCUUACGGGGUGAGGGUGCGAACAGAACCCCGCGAUAGCGAGGGGAUCGUCCGGUAUAAUCUCGUAAAACCCGCGGGAGAGUCCACGCGAGAAACCGACGAAGACGACAACGACGACGACGUUUGGAAUUGCAACCCCAAUAGCCAGGAAAGUGCGGUGCCAUCGUCUCUCUCGAUACAGAUAAAGCGAUCUCGGAGCAUCGCGAAGGUGAUUGCAAUUUACACA